UGUUGACAAUCCUUCAGGGAGUCUGGGUCCAGGUAAAUCACAGACACAGUGUGUACUGACUGUGCUGCUGCCCAGAGGCUGUGGGCUGACCGUGCUGUCCCGGAGCAGGCCAACAUCAAAGCCGUUGAUCCAGAGGAGCCUGAGGCUACAAGCAGCCAAGAGCUCUGAUCAACAGAGGAGAUGCAAAAUGAUCCGACUGUUCUCCACUAACACUGAAGCCUGUGAGCUGAAAAGGACACAAAGCAUCUCUAAAGGGUAUCCUUGAAAGUUCGUGAAUUUGAGAAAAAAAAUUGAGGCCUUGAAAGUUUUUGAAAACAGGCGUAAAGAGGGACAUGGGUUAUUGAAAGUGCUUGAAUUGAUAUAUUCUGUGCAAAAAGAGAUUGAAGUUCUUCUGAUGUUUUUCUUUACUCAUCAUUAGUAAAUAGGCUGUGUGUCACUGUCUGCAUGUGUGCAAGAGGCCACAAUCUGCCAUCACUGUAUCAAAGCACAGCGAAGAAGUGUUCACACAUUCAAGCUUUCUCUCUUUUUAAUUGUUGUCUGUGAGCUUCUGUAAAUCCUUCUAUAGCUCUCAUUAUAAAAAAUUCUUUGUGUUGUAGCAGUGAUUAACCUUGAUCUGUGUCUCAAACUGUGCUGUGCUGGGUCCUUCAAUUUGAGGAGUCCUUGAAAAGUCCAUGAAUUUGAUGUAUAAGACAGAAAUUUAAAAGUACUUGAUUCAGAAAAAUUCCCCCUGUGAGUGUUAUAUUAUUUUAUGUGAUAUUACUGGAUUAUUACUGAUGUAUUCAUGUAUCAAUAUCAUAUUACUGUUGUAGUUGGCUGAGGUGGAGCUGAUUUUAAGUACUUGUAAUCUGUUGGUUUUAUCUUUAACAUUACAUCACAUGUUAAGCUCAUAGGAUUUCUAUGGAAAAUCAUAAUUUCUAAAGCCACUAGUAUCUAUAGUUGUCAAAUCAAGGUAAUGGAGCAGAAGUGUAGAGUGCACGAAAUGGAAACUUUCAAGUACAAGAACAAAAGCUUCAGUUAAGUAAAUUGAGGUCAUUUCCACUUUUCUGAACGGCUUUUCUGUGAAUAUUGAUUAUAUUUCAAGGAUGUCAAAUUCAUUUUGCAUUUUUAGAAUCAGUGACGAGUCAGAAAUGCACAUUUUGUUGCAUGCAAAAUUCAUGUAACUGUGAAGGUUCAAUAGAAAAGUGUUUUUUAAAUGUAUUUCUGUGGAAUAUGUUCCUGGCAUAUCUAUGUGACUGCUCAACUAACAAUUAAAAAACUGAUGAAUGGGUGAGUAUGAGUGUGAUGAGUUCAGAGCUUAACACAGCAAACUAAACUCCUGAGUAACUCAGUAA